GUUUUGGAGAAAAGAUUAAACUUUUAGACUGUUCUAUCUUUGCUAGAUCAUCAAUUUCUUCAAGACUUCUGGUUGGAGAGACAGGAAUCACCAGGCAUCAACUACCACAAUCAAAUUGAUCUUUCCUUCAGGACCGAUUCUGUGGUGGGUAUUUAUAGAUCAUUGCAAAGAUGAAUGAUUUAAUGACUAGAUCAUUCCUCAAUUACGUAGAGCUCAAGAAACAAGCCAUGAAAGAUCUGGAAUCCGAGCCAGACCUUGAGAUGGGCCAAUUAGAUCCUGAUGAUGAAAA
rnacentral:misc_RNA from 1 species